AGGGUGAAGAGAAUUCAGGGUCUACUAGACCAUCUCUCCAGAGAAAGGAAGUAGGAAAUCAUCAAAGCAUCGGUACAUUUUCUAGCAGCGAGAGAGGAGGAACGGGGCAGCUUAGCUGGCUGGCAGCCGCCUUGGGCACGGUGAGCUGGAGCCCAGAUCAUGGAGUGAGAGGAGCAGAGCCGGCCUGUGGACAGCAGCCAGGAAUCUGGAUCACCACAGGGAGGAGGCAGGGUCAGGAUUGAGCCAAGACGUGUGUUCAGAGCUCUGUGUCCGGAGCAGCCGGCUCCGUGGCA